rnacentral:rRNA from 1 species
AUUGAGCGCUGGCGGAAUGCUUUACACAUGCAAGUCGAACGGCAGCACGGGGGCAGCCCUGGUGGCGAGUGGCGAACGGGUGAGUAAUACAUCGGAACGUGCUCGGUCGUGGGGGAUAACGUAGCGAAAGUUACGCUAAUACCGCAUACGAUCUGAGGAUGAAAUCGGGGGACCUUCGGGCCUCGCGCGAUCGGAGCAGCCGAUGUCAGAUUAGGUAGUUGGUGGGGUAAAGGCCUACCAAGCCGACGAUCUGUAGCUGGUCUGAGAGGACGACCAGCCACACUGGGACUGAGACACGGCCCAGACUCCUACGGGAGGCAGCAGUGGGGAAUUUUGGACAAUGGGCGCAAGCCUGAUCCAGCCAUUCCGCGUGCAGGACGAAGGCCUUCGGGUUGUAAACUGAUUUUGUACGGAACGAAAAGGCUCUGGCUAAUACCUGGGGCUCAUGACGGUACCGUAAGAAUAAGCACCGGCUAACUACGUG